rnacentral:rRNA from 1 species
AUUGAACGCUGGCGGCAUGCCUUACACAUGCAAGUCGAACGGCAGCACGGGAGCAAUCCUGGUGGCGAGUGGCGAACGGGUGAGUAAUACAUCGGAACGUGCCCAGUAGUGGGGGAUAACCCGGCGAAAGACCGGACUAAUACCGCAUACGACCUACGGGUGAAAGCAGGGGAGUCGCAAGACCUUGCGCUAUUGGAGCGGCCGAUGUCAGAUUAGCUUGUUGGNGGGGUAAAGCCUACCAAGGCAACGAUCUGUAGCUGGUCUGAGAGGACGACCAGCCACACUGGGACUGAGACACGGCCCAGACUCCUACGGGAGGCAGCAGU